AACGAACGCUGGCGGCAGGCCUAACACAUGCAAGUCGAGCGGACCUUUCGGGGUCAGCGGCGAACGGGUGAGUAACGCGUGGGAAUAUGCCCUUCUCUACGGAAUAGUCCUGGGAAACUGGGGGUAAUACCGUAUACGCCCUUUGGGGGAAAGAUUUAUCGGGGAAGGAUUAGCCCGCGUUGGAUUAGGUAGUUGGUGGGGUAAUGGCCUACCAAGCCGACGAUCCAUAGCUGGUUUGAGAGGAUGAUCAGCCACACUGGGACUGAGACACGGCCCAGACUCCUACGGGAGGCAGCAGUGGGGAAUCUUAGACAAUGGGGGCAACCCUGAUCUAGCCAUGCCGCGUGAGUGAUGAAGGCCUUAGGGUUGUAAAGCUCUUUCAGCUGGGAAGAUAAUGACGGUACCAGCAGAAGAAGCCCCGGCUAACUCCGUG
rnacentral:rRNA from 1 species